UUUGGAUCAUUUGAUGAU
rnacentral:snRNA from 1 species